rnacentral:rRNA from 1 species
GACGAACGCUGGCGGCGUGCUUAACACAUGCAAGUCGAACGGAAAGGCCCUGCUUUUGUGGGGUGCUCGAGUGGCGAACGGGUGAGUAACACGUGAGUAACCUGCCCUUGACUUUGGGAUAACUUCAGGAAACUGGGGCUAAUACCGGAUAGGAGCUCCUGCUGCAUGGUGGGGGUUGGAAAGUUUCGGCGGUUGGGGAUGGACUCGCGGCUUAUCAGCUUGUUGGUGGGGUAGUGGCUUACCAAGGCUUUGACGGGUAGCCGGCCUGAGAGGGUGACCGGGGACAAUGGGCCUAAGAGAGGGAGCAGAGGGGAACAGGAGGCAGAAGGGGGGAGUAUGACACAAUGGGGCGACGCGUGAUGAAGAAGGAUCGGGUUGGGGAAGCAGGACAUGGGGUGAGAAACGGCAUUAGCUUGAGACCAAGCGGGAUUGACGUUAACGAGUGAAGAAGCACCGGCUAACUACGUG